rnacentral:sRNA from 1 species
AAUGUACUUCUCCAUUCUCCCAAAUCAGAUAUUUAUACAUUUAUUGCUUGCAUCACAAAAAAAAGGAGAUCCCAGCACUGUCUGAUCAGGGAUGAUACAGAAAUGUGUUCUCAGUCAUCAGAAACAGCUCAUCCUGGAGACACGAAUGAAAUAAAAACAAAACAGCACAAAUAAUUCAACAAUGUACGAUUAGGAAGAUUGUUUUUCCCACUGAUCCUAAAACACAGCUUGUAUCUUGCUGUAGCAUCAGAUGCCAAGGGAAUUCGGUUGGUUGGUACUUAGCAAAGAAAUUGGUAUUGUUUCUGCUGACAUUGCUAUUAGAUUCCACAGCAGAAGCUGAAAACGAUAUUUGUAAGGAACCAUAAAAAAGUUCAUAGUCCAUUUCUCUAAUGGAAGUAGGGUUUUAAUCUGAAUCUGAUUGUUGUGGGAUUCAUGUCAACCCCUCUAAAAAGUGGAAAUUAUAAUCCCAAAGGAAAAGAUCAUCCUCAAGUAGGUUCCCUUCGGAAAUAAUUCUGUGUUAUGCUAAUGCUAUGUCAUACAGAUCCUAUCCCUACAACCCCCCCCCCCCCCUUUUAAUGGAAAAUGAGGUGAAAAUCUUGAAGUCACUAAGUUAAAUUUUAAACAAACACAAGGUGUUACCAAUUUCAUUUUUAUUUUUCGCUUAAGUGGUCAUGGUCAACUUUGCAGGUCAAGGUCAAAUU